rnacentral:lncRNA from 1 species
GGCUGUCCGUCAUCUCCUCGUCGUCGUUUGCUUCACUUCACUGAAUAAAACUCCGUUGUUUUUCUGAAUGCUUCUACGCUUUUCUCCCGCCAAAUUCUCGCCGGUGUCUAACUUUCCGGCAAUUGUUUCACCGGAGCUCUUCUCUUGUUCCGGUACAAUGGCUCGAAUAGUCUCCCGCGCAUUUCCACUCGUAUCGAGAUCUUCUUUAAACAACAAUAACAACACAACCUUUCUUCUCUCUCGUUCACCUUUUUCUACUCGAUUCUUCGUUUCUUCUUCUUCUUCUAUUUCUUCAAUUUUUGGUCGAAAACUUGCUAUUUCAUACCAAUCAGAUCGAAGUUCUAAUGUUAAAGCUAUCGAUAGAGGGGUUUUUGUUUAGCAAAGAGGUUAUCGAAAGCUGAGACGUAAGCCAUUAAAGAAAGAGAAACAAUUAGAGCUUGAUGUCAGAAUUUGUAUUGAAGAGGAAUUGCCCGAUGAUCCUGAAGUUCUGGUAAUUAUUACCUCUUUGUGUCAUUUCUCUUAAAGAUUUAAUUUUUAUAUAAAUUGCUUAAAAUUAGGUUUUCAGCUGAUUGUUUGAUAACAUUGGUUUUAAUUUGAACUAAUGAUACUUGGCUAAUAAUCAAGAAAAUGUUGAAUUUGUUUUUGAGCUUAAGUUGCAUAAGAACAUGGAUAGUUCAUCCCAAUAUUAAACGGACCUUUAUUCGAUCCAAGUCCAUUAAAAAGCCCAAUUGAUCAAAACAAGUCUAAUUACUGAAUUGUCCUUUACCCUCCCUUCCAUUAGGGCUGCUAUCUGAGCCGAGCGGCUCGGGCUCGGCUCGAUAAAAGCUCGGCUCGGCUCGCUCAUUUAUCUAAACGAGCCGAGUUCGAGCCGGUUUUUGAGCUCGUCACGAGCCCGAGCCGAGCUCGAGCUCUAAACGAGCCGAGCCGAGCAGCUCGUUUACUAUGGGCUUGGGCAGUUGGGCUUAUGGUAACUAUGGGCUUGGGCAGUUGGGCUUCUAUCUCCAUCACUUGCAACCAUCAGUAUCACAAACCCAAACUUAAUUCCCCACUCCACUUUUUUUUUUUUCUCUCUCUCUCUUCACUUUAUCUCUCGAUCAGUCGAUCUCAACUCUCUCUACACUUUUGAUUUCUCCAUCAGUCGAUCUCCUUUUGAUCAAUCGAUUCUAGUUUUUUUUUUCUCCAUCAGUCGAUCUCCAUCGCGUCUGCUCAAGGUGAGUUGAGUUAAGGGCUUUAUUUUCUAUUGAUUUUUGUUUAAUUAAUUAGGAUUUUGUGAUUCAAUUGGUUUGCUGAAUUUUAGUUUAGAAUUAGUUGUAGAUCUGUAUGGAAUUUUUGUGUUUUUUUCCAAGUUUAUCAAAAUAAAGAUUGAAGCUUUAUUUAUUUCUUUACAAGUUGAAAUUGAAUUUGAAUUGCAUAUAUGUUGUUUGAGAAAUUGUCUUUAAAGUGUAUAUACAAUACACCUUAAAUGGACUAGCAGUAUUCUUUUGUUCUUAAUGUUCUUCCACUAAUGCAAGAAAACAAUGGUUAAACUUAGAAAUACUUUCUGCAGGAUUUUUCAAGGAGCCAGACGAGCCAGCGAGCCGAAACGAGCCGAGCUCGAGUUUUACUUUUGGCUCUCGAACCGAGCUCGAGCUCAUAGUUCAGCUCGAUCUUAAUUUUAAGCUCGGCUCGAGCUCGGCUCGGUUAGUAACGAGCCGAGUUUGAGCAUACCUUAGCUCGGCUCGAGCGGCUCGAAUAGCACCCCUACCUUCCAUUCAUGUGGAUUCACAGUUUACACAAAAGAGGUCGUUUUGGACUUGGGCUGUCCGUCAUCUCCUCGUCGUCGUUUGCUUCACUUCACUGAAUAAAACUCCGUUGUUUUUCUGAAUGCUUCUACGCUUUUCUCCCGCCAAAUUCUCGCCGGUGUCUAACUUUCCGGCAAUUGUUUCACCGGAGCUCUUCUCUUGUUCCGGUACAAUGGCUCGAAUAGUCUCCCGCGCAUUUCCACUCGUAUCGAGAUCUUCUUUAAACAACAAUAACAACACAACCUUUCUUCUCUCUCGUUCACCUUUUUCCACUCGAUUCUUCGUUUCUUCUUCUUCUUCUUCUUCUUCUAUUUCUUCAAUUUUUGGUCGAAAACUUGCUAUUUCAUACCAAUCAGAUCGAAGUUCUAAUGUUAAAGCUAUCGAUAGAGGGGUUUUUGUUUCGCAAAGAGGUUAUAGAAAGCUGAGACGUAAGCCAUUAAAGAAAGAGAAACAAUUAGAGCUUGAUGUCAGAAUUUGUAUUGAAGAGGAAUUGCCCGAUGAUCCUGAAGUUCUGGUAAUUAUUACCUCUUUGUGUCAUUUCUCUUAAAGAUUUAAUUUUUAUAUAAAUUGCUUAAAAUUAGGUUUUCAGUUGAUUGUUUGAUAACAUUGGUUUUAAUUUGAACUAAUGAUACUUGGCCAGUAAUCAAGAAAAUGUUGAAUUUGUUUUUGAGCUUAAGUUGUUAUGAGAGUGAAAUGUUUAGUCAAACAUCAUACCUUGGAGGAUAAAAUGCGCUAAUUUAUGCACUAAGAAUGACUCAAUUAUCUAUUCAGUGAUCAUAAAUAUCCUUGUCAUCUUCUUUUGCUAUCUUGAAACAAUUGAUAUGAAGUUAUUCCAGUAUUUUAGAGAUUGUAUACUAUAAAUGAUCUCAUAGUUACAAUAACUUCUGAUAAUUUACAAAGUUUCAUGGACACUCCUGUGAAGUUUGUUCUUAAAUUUUUAUAGAUAGCUAUAUUAUCAGAAAGGUUGUAAGUACGCUUUUUCAUUAGUCUUACUGGUUUACUAGAAUAGGAUUGUUGCAUUUUUUUUAAGGUAUUUUGAAUAGGCUUUGUUUUCAAGUUGAUUGAAGCUUUUUAUUGGGUUCUGAUGCAGAGUAUUGCAGAAAUGCUCCGUCUGAAUGUUCCAAUGGCUAUGAAGUUAGCAUUCGAUGGUCUAAAAGAUUCACAGUAUAAAACAAGAGACACUUCCAUAGAUGAUGUUGGCGGCUUUGAGACUGUUGAGUUAUCUGUACUUUUAUGUAAUGAUGAUUUCAUUAGGAAACUUAAUAAAGAUUGGAGAGAUGAGGACCAUGCUACAGAUGUUCUAUCUAUGUCCCAACAUAUUCCUGAUCUUGAACUUCCAGUGGUAUGAUCUCAUGGUUUUUAAAUUUGCAUCACUUUCUUGACAAUUAUACUUCUUUAUACAUAGACCUUUCACAUGCAUUCCUUCCUAUUACAGCUUAUGUUGGGUGACAUAGUAAUAUCUGUUGAGACGGCUGCAAGGCAAGCAGAGGAGAGAGGACAUACUCUUAUUGACGAGAUUCGAGUUCUCAUGGUUGGUUCAUCAACACAUUUUCAUAGUUACCCAUUGAUUUAUUUCGUUAUCAUGGGCCAGUUUCUUUUGCUUCUUUAGUUAUUAUUACUAUUUCUUUUUUUUUAUUUGUCUCAAAGUUUCAUUACUGAAACUAUGAUAUGUCUUCCACAUCACAUCUAACGCAUCGUCUUCGUAGUAUAAAAUUCCCAUAAAUUUGAUAUGUUCUACUGCAGAGCCAAAUAGUAAGAAUCAACCAAUAUAAUAAACAAUUAAACAUCAAAACAAUGAAAAAGGUCCAGGGUCAUGCAGGUCUUCAGUCAUUUUGAUAUAGAAAACUCUUACUGUUUGAACCAAAUAAACAAUCUUAUAAAGAAAAUUCUGACACCAUAAUGAGGGAUCGCAUGGAAGGUAGCCAUCAUCAUGGUGAAAGGCACAGAACUCUUAUUGUGCAAACGGCUGGGAAAGUACCUGUAAUCUGUAAAGCUCAAAUUACAUGUGUUUUUGGUGAAAUAUAUGAAUGAGAUGCAGCGCGUGGAAAAUCACAUAUAAGCCUUGAGGGCACCAACCCUCUUAGAGGCUUCAGGCGCCUCAAUGGUUAGAAAAAAGGGCUAAAAUAGUUAUAGAGAAAACCUCAGGCAUUUUACCUUGUGUGUGACUUGUGCUCUUUGUAUGAGAUAUGAAAAUUAGUUCAUACACUAAAGGAAUGACACAGAGAAGUUCUGGUUGUUUCCUAGCCAAACAGAUAAUGUUGAUGUCAUAUUAAAGUUCCUGUGCAUAUCAUAGGCAACAUACCAUGACAAUCUUAUGUUCACAACUCAUAAGUCAAAUAUGACCACAAGUCGCAACCAAAAAUCCCAAACACAAUCAUCUUCAACUCUCAGAAGUUUGGUUCUUUUGAUAAUUCAAAACAACAGUAAUACAGUCAUUAUUGCGAGUACAAGGUUGUCAAGAAGCUUAAAAAUUGCAUAAAGUUGCUCUAAGGUCUGUGGUCCAUGUGUCUAGAAGAGGGCAAGCUUGCACCUGAACCUGCCUUGAGGCUAUAAAAUCAGGGCAUGUGCAUAGUACAUAGUGGCGUAACCUAUAAUACCUGUGUGGCUAUAGCCUCAGUGCUUUUUGUGGAUAAAAGCAGUGGUUUAAGCCUUGAGGUGUGGGCGUUCAUGUUUUUUUCCUAAACUUUGAUGAAAUGAAUAACUAUGGGUUAUGUCUGAUCAUGCAGGUUCAUGGGUUGUUACAUCUGUUGGGAUUUGAUCAUGAACUCAGUGAAGAGGCCGAGAUAGAGAUGGAGAAGGAGGAAGAACUUCUUUUGAGGAGUCUAAAGUGGAAAGGAAAAGGGUUAAUACAAUGUGCAAAUGAUGCUGCGAGUAGUGGAAGUGUUCCUACUAAAGCUUCAGAUGGUAAUCUCUUUGCUUCAAAAUUAGACUUCUAUUUUUAACGUUUCUGUUCUGUUUCGUAAAUCACUUGGUGGUUAAGAUGUUAUUUAAAAGAGUAGCUUCCGCAUUUUACAGGUGAAGCAUCCACAGAAAGGAAGCAAGAAGGCAGCCUCCGGUUUUAUAAACCGAAAUUCAACUAUAUCUUCUGCGAUAUGGAUGGUGAGUUUGAGCUGAUAAUUGUAGAAAUGCUCUGUUUAUCACCACUAACAUCUUAUAACAUUUUUUCCCCUCAUUUACGUUACGUAAAGGCACGCUCCUAAACACCAAGAGUCAGAUUACUCCUGCGACAGCGAAAGCUCUUAAAGAGGCCAUGUCAAGGGGAGUAAAGAUUGUGGUAGCCACUGGAAAGGUGAUAUAUUUUUCUCUUACUUAAUUUAGGUUACCAUUGAUGGUUUCCGUGGAGAUUCACGCUGUUAUUUGAUAUUAUACAAGCUGCUUGUAGUUUCCUCUCCAUGCCUUGGGGUAUCUUUGCUCGCAUUUAUUUGAUAUUAUACAACCUGUUAUAUAUAUAUAUAUAUAUAUAUAUAUUAAUCUUUUUGUGCUUCACCUCCAACUUGUGUUUCUUUGUUGGAUACUUUUGCUUGUCUUUGAUCAUCUCUUGUUCAUGCAAUGUUAAUGGAACAGGCUCGUCCUGCCGUUAUAAGCGCUUUGAAGAUGGUUGAUUUAGCUGGAAAAGAUGGCAUUGUUUCUGAGUUAUCACCAGGGGUUUUCCUUCAGGUUUACCAUCUGUACCUUUUUCCCUUUUUUAUUUUAAUAUAUCCUCAUGAGCCACCCUAUAUGGAUUUCUAAUGUGCAGAAAGUCUUACUUGCUCUCUAUCAAGACUUUCCAUGUAGAUUUAUUUUUUAUGCUUGUCAUCCAGUAUGGUGCUUCAGUGAUGCAAAUUUGGUUGCUCCAAAUUAAAGAUGCAAAGUUAAUUAUGCCCAGUUCAAGAUGAUAUUGGAGAAUACACUUGUCACUAUUUUCUUCUUUGUCAUAAUAAAAAUAGUUAAUAGGUGCUAUGAAAUCUAAAUUUGUGGCCAAGGGCAAAGCUGCACUCAUUUUGUGGAGACCAUCUGAUUCUUAAGUGACAGAUUGAGGAGCCCAAAUGUAAUAAGUUGAAAUGAAUUAUAAAACCAUUAACAUGGAUAUUGUAAUUUAGAACUGCAUAUUAGAAUGAAGAUACCGAUUUGCUUAAAGAUUUUGUAGAAUUCAGCAGUACAAUUUUUCUCAAUUUUCAUUUGGCAGUGUUAGCUCCUGCUAACACUUAUGAGGAUAUUUUGGAGUUUGUAGGCAGAGUUCAGUUGGAUUUGGCAUAGAAGUGUAGUCUACCAGAAUAUUCAAGGUAUUAUUAGUAAAACCAUUCAGGCAGUUCAUGGCUAAUGAAGAGUUAACAUCAAUCACAUAGUAAUUAUCAGAGCAAGGAAUUGCAUAAAUGUAACACCCCGGGUCGGCAGGUGGUUUGCCGAGGGGGUGGGUCCUACGGCACAUGAGAGGAGGAUGUCCUGACAUUGGAAUAUAGGUAUAGAUCCAUCAUAUAUAAUCACCAAGGCCUUUUGGCCUCAUUUGGCUCCAGAGUUCGAAGGAACUCCAGAGUUAAGCGUGGUCGGGUGGGAGUAGUCUCAGGAUGGGUGACCUCCUGGGAAGCAGGCUGCUGCCCAUAAAACCCCACACUGUCGGAUGUCCGCAGUGGCUAAGUGAGGACAAUAUCGGUGGUGAUAUAGGUCGGGUCACUACAAUAAACAUUGAAAUGUUAUAAACUAGAGCAAGGAAAAUAAACAUUGAAAUGGAAAGAAAAGGUACAACACUAGCUGGAUUUCUAGGUGAAUGCUCAGCAUAUUCCAUCCUUUAACAUCUUAUGGUGCUUUAUAUUUUGGUUUCACUUCCAUAUGAAUUAUGCUAUUUCUUAUUUUAUUAGUUCAUUUGACUUUCCAGGGAUUGCUUGUUUAUGGUAGACAAGGUCAAGAAAUUUUUAGAAGAAAUUUAGAUCCAAGUGUUUGUAAAGAGGUAAUUAAUCUUUUGUUCCGACUUCUGAGUACAGCCUAUAGCUUUCAGUUUGCAAUUGGAACUAGCUUUCAGUUUGCAUUUGUAUACUCGUAAUUGCAGGCAUUUUUGUACUCUUUGGAACACAAGGUUCCUCUCGUUGCAUUUUGCCAGGACCGGUGUUUAACACUAUUUGACCACCCUUUGGUUGAAUCACUCCAUACCAUAUAUCACGAGCCAAAGGUACCUAGCUAUACUGUUUGAAUUUAUUACCUUUGUCACUAAGUUUGAUGGUGUGGUGCGUGUCUCUAUCAUUGAUAUGAUCCCUGGAUUUUGUUCACAGGCAGAAGUCAUGCCUUCAGUUGAGCAUCUCUUAGCCGCCUCUGAUAUACAGGUAUGUUGUUUAAAUCAGUCAGUAAAGUUAACUUCAGCUUUUAACUUGGAAAUAUGUUUUAUAGGACCAAUAAAUAAUAAACACUGCCACUAUCUACUGCGAGAAUUGACUGUGAUGCACAUGCACACAGUGACACAGCAACCUAAUGAAUGUGAUCGUAUAUUUGGCUUGCUCGUUUAUUCUCUUGUUGACACAUUCUUUUGGGUUGGCAGAAGCUGUUAUUCUUUGACACUCCUGAGGGAGUAUCUACUACAUUGCGGCCAUAUUGGUCGGAAGCAACGAAUGGGCGUGCCGGUGUAGUCCAAGCUAUGCCAGAUAUGCUUGAAAUUGUUCCAGCCUGUACUUCGAAAGGAAGCGGAGUAAAAAUGCUGCUAGAUCAUUUUGGAGUCACAUCAAAAGAGGUAUGGUGCAAAAAAAAAAUUUGUUGCAUAAUGUGUACAUUAUUGAUACCCUUUUUGUCAUCUCUAAUUGGUUAAGAACUAAUGCUGAUAUCAAUACGGGUCUGUGGUACUGCUACUUGAUGAUGUUAGAAUCUUUGUUUUAGGAUGUAAUUUAUGGUAGCAUCUGGAUCAAUCUUAAUCAUACCAUUGUGUAUAUUUUAUACUUUAAAGUAUUGCAUAACAAGAAAGAUUGUCAAUAUGCUUUCUUGUUUGACCAUGUUGCAAUAUGGAACUUUUAAAUCACCUCUGUUCAAUUAUUUUGGCUAAAAGUAGUGCUUUAAUGUCGGUAACUCGGUAUCUGAAGUUUAUAAUGAUUGAUGCUGUUAAAGAUUGUGUAAGGAUAUAGUUUGUUUCUUGGAGAAUCCUAUAUUGAUCUAAAGUAUUGUAUAUAUCUCCGAAGAUUCUAUUUAUUGUGUUGUAGGUGCCAGUUGGCUCAAUUGGUAAAACCUCUGGGUGAUGAUACCAGAGGUCUGGGGUUUGAAUCCCGCCAGCACUACCGAGUUACUGACCUCAUUAAAAACAGACUUACCAAACCAUUUUUUGCGAAUGGGCAUGUGGCUCAAUGGUAGCACCCCUCUCACAAAGUGGAGAGGUUGUCAAAAAAAAAAAAAAAAGAUUUAGAAUGUCCUUGGUAUGCACUUUAAUGGAUGUAGUACUUGUUGAUUGAUACCAUUUGAAGUUGUCUAAGGAUGUAGUUUGUCUGCUGGAGCAUCCUGUAUUGAUAUAUGUUGCUAUCUAUAUCUUUCAAUAUUAUAUAUAUAAUUACUAUUUUGUCAUCUUAUUUCGGACUUUUCAUCUCCUGAAAUAAAGUGGUGUUAUCUGUUUUAAAGGUUUGAUAUCACUUAUCUAAGUAAUUAUACUAAUAAAUUGAUAUCAAGCUCGAUAAUUCCUUUGUUUCCUAGAUAGGAAGUUCUAAGAAAGUAAGAAUAUUUAGUUGUAUUCAGUGUGUGAGUGUUCUCUUGUUUUUUUAUGAAACUUUCCAGUGUUAAACCUGCGACCAUCCAAGCAAUUCUCGCUGUGACUCUCUCAAACUUGGUUGAUUGUCAGUUGGACGUCGUAAAUGCCUUUUUACACUGAUUAAACUGAAGAGUUGUAUAUGCACAGUAGGCCUCCUUUUCCUUCUGACAUUCUUUAAAGAAGUUUGAUUAAAGGAUUAUAUGCUUUCUGCAUUUGACAACUUCUUUGCUGAGUGCUGACUAAUUUUUUAUAAUUUUAUUAGAUAAUGGCUAUUGGCGACGGGGAAAAUGACAUUGAAAUGCUUGAGCUGGCAUCUCUAGGGGUUGCUCUCAGUAAUGGUGCAGAAAAGACAAAAGCUAUAGCCAACGUAAUUGGUAUGAGUAAUGACGAAGAUGGUGUAGCUGAUGCCAUUUACCGGUAUGCAUUCUGAAAGUCAAACUUAGGCGUGGCAGUUUGUAUUUUGUAACACCGGUAAUUUUUGCUAUUUAUGGCUGGGAUGAACGUGCCUUGACAAAUAUUCACUAAUUCAUUGGAAAGAAGGGGAGACAAAUUUCUCCUGGUCAACUGUACAAAAUCACCCAUGAGCAUUUAAUCGGGUACCCGUUCUCUGUAACUUACCUUUUGCUUACAGUUCAAAGAGAAAUAAUCACGUUGGUUACUCUUGUUUUACAUUGCUUAAUCGGGUUCGUUUCAAUGAUUCUCAUUGCUUACUCUUGUUUUAGUUAAUUGGCAUUACUUAUAUAUUAAUGUUAUUGAGAAAAAGCUCAAAUCAAGACUUUAAUGAGUUGCAUCCUUUGCCCUCAGUUUGUACAGCUAAAGAAUCUCCAUGACUGCACUUAUUUAAUGAGUCAAUAUAUAAUCUUUUUCAUUACGUCCAUACAAUUCUUAACAUGAAACUGAUGCACUAGUAUGUUCGUUUGACUUUGUGGCAUUGUCUCGCGCUCUCAUGGAAGAAAGCCAACUACUAGUUUGUCUCUCAGCAUGAACAGCAUAAGAGAACCAGUGAUCAGAUAGAUUAUGCCUUCCUUAACUGAGAAUGUGACACACACUCCAUGCUAUCUAGAAUUUCUCUGCACUCACAAACUGCAUCCAUGAGAUGAGUGGAUAUAGACAUGCUGAUACUCUUAAGGAUUAACCUUGGGGACAAGUCAACAAGUCAACCACCCUGCAAUCUAGCCAGUGAAGGAUCUUUUAUUGAAACUAUGUGAACGUGCACGCAUAAACGUGCAGAUAGGUAGGGUGUUAUAUAAGAAGUUUGGGGUGGGUUCAGGUGAUAGAAUUUAAGUGGAUGGGUUAGGACAGUUGGAUUGUUGGACCCAUAAUUUAUUUGGUUUUUUUUUUUUUGUUAAAAAUUAGAAACAAUCCGGAGUCCUGUCUAGUGUCUACAGGCCGCUUUACCAUUAGUAAAAAUUUCAUAAAAUUUAUUUUUUAUCAUAACAAGUAACUUUUGAGGUUCAUUGAUACAUACAACAUCUUUACUACUUAUAAAGCGGCCCCAUAUAAUAUAUCCAUUUAUAUUUUGACACGUAUACAAACUUUGACUUCGGAAAUUAUUAUGUUUUUAAAUUUUUUUUUAUGGAUAAUGUUUGUUGACUUUAUAUUUUAGGAAUAUGGGGAAGAUAAGAAUGAGUUAUGGCACGUGCAUGGCACAUGCAUAUUUACAUAAUAUUCAUGAACGGAAUUUAUAGUUUCUAUGUUCCGAUCAAUAUUGGUGAUUGGUCAUUUAGCUCCUUGAUUUCACCUCCUUUGCUUUUGGUCUAAAAAUCUCACUUUCUUUCAAACCAUCACAGUUCUUAAUGACCCUGCCACUCACUAUCUCUUGAAUGACCCAUUUUCCUCUUCAGGUAUCUCCAAGCCAAUUUUUUUCCACUUUAGUAACCUCGCAUUCAACCCUUGGAUGUGGCAAACUACUGAAUUGGGGAAUCUAGUCCAUUGAAACAUAUCCCCUAUCCUUGACUUGGUCCUCAAACCCAGUUGGUAAGAACAACUCUCGCUAGGGGUGGGCACGGUUUGGUUCGGUUCUAUUUUAUCACUAAACUGAAACCGAACUGUGCAAGCUGGUUCGGUUCGGUUCGGUUUCAAAAACCAAAAAAUAUUAUUAACAUUGGACUGGACCAAACCGAUUUAAUUCGGUUCGGUUCGGUUUUCGGUUUGGGCUUUAUUAUGGGUUUUUAUGUUUUGGGUUUUAAUAACUUCGGUUUUUUUUUUUGUAAUCUAAUAAAUAUUUGAAUAUAAUUUAACAUUUAUAAAAAAAAAUAAUAAAAAAAUAAAAAAAACAUAUAUAACGUAUAUAUAUAAAUAAAAAAAAUUAAAAAAUAUAUAUAUAUAUAUAUAUAUAUAUAUAUAUAUAUAUAUUUUUUCGGUUUGGUUCGAACCGAAAUAUUAGAAUAGGAACUGGAACUGGACUGUAUAUACUCGAUUCGGUUCCAGUUUCAGUUCGGUUUGACCGGUUCCUGGUCAACACAGUUUUGACCCGGUUCCAGUUUCAGUUCGUUUUUUCGGUUUUUUGCCCACCCUUAACUCCCGCUGAUAACCAGGUAGGGUCUUUGAGUAUCAGACCAAUAUAAAUUGGCAAAUUGCUUGGAGGCCAUCUUUCCAGCCAGCUUUUUCAUAUACUAUGACAGUUAGUACAAUUAUGCAUGGCGUGGCACCAAACCAAAAGAUUAAAAAACUUUGGGUUAUUACUAAAGCCAAAGGAUUGGUUUUUAAAUGAAUAGUAUAACUAAUUAAAGAAGUAAUUAUUUUUAUCGAUACGAAUUUUAAUUGAUGUAUCCUUUCUCUUCUUUGCUUGAAACUGUUUGGAGGCAAUCUUUCCAACCAAAACAAAAAAUUAAACAAAAAUUUUUAUUUGUGUUUCCUCUAGUGUGUGGUUCGUGUGGUCCAAUUAUAAUAUGUCACGUGUCUAUAAAUUAGUUGGGUAACUAAUUCAAACCCACUAGGGUUAACUACACCCUACAUAGGUUAUAUUUUUGUUAACACGUGGCGUGAUGUGAUUGGAACCACACGAUCCACAUACAAAACGAAACACAGAUAAAAUUUAUUGUUACUAAAGAACAACCUACGAAGGAACUGAUAAGUUGGUUAGAUUAACCAAGUAAUUGAUAUAAGUAUGGUUUAAAAGAAAAUUGGUUUCGAUACUCUGUUUACAACCAAAUGCACCAACUGUUCAAAUCAACAAAUUUAAUUAUAUACAAAAUCUUUAUUGUUCAUCUUAAAAUUAAAAAAAGAGACUUGGAAGAAGAAGACUUGUCAGUGUUCAUGUUUGCGACUGAUGUAACACCAAGUUAAUGUAAAUACUAAGUGUAUGUUUGGGAACUCAUAAAGUGAGGGAAAAGAAAGAAAUAUGUACUUAGGGGCUUAGGGCUGUGCACGAAUCGGUACGAUUUGGUUUUGGGCAAAACUGGCACCCGAACACCUAAUAGGUGUUUUGUAAAAGUUGAAACCGAAACCGAACUGUUUCAUUUUCGAAACCGAUCCGAACCGAACAGAAUUCACUGAAACCGGAACAUAGCCGAACAUAUUAUUCAGUUCGGUUAACCGAGUAAAACCGAACUGAACACUUAGUUUCUUGACAAAGUUCAAUACUUACAUAAAUAAAUGGGUUGGAGUGCUGGACAGAUGGGCUGAAUUACUGCUAACUUGCUAAGUAAGUCUGCUAUACAGAUGGGCUGGAGAGAUGGGCUAUACAGAAUUAUAUAUUGGGGAUUAUGGGCUGGACUGUAUGUACAAAAUUACAUGUUCGGUUCGGUUUUAGGUGUUAAAAAAGUUUCCGAAACUGCAACCGAACACCCAAAGCAUGUGUUUUGCAAAAACAGAAACGGCAACUGAACAAAGAAACAUGCAAAUUGCAAACACCUUAUUUUCGGUUCGGAUCGGUUCGAUUUACAUGUUUCAGAUCAGUUUUGCCCAGCCCUACAUGUACUAAGGAAUGUUCACUUGAAUCUAGUUCUUGGUUUGUUUAGGUGGCUAAGGAAAUAUAGGGAAUGGAAAGACUUCUCUUUCCUUAGGGAAAAGUUUUAAUCUAAUUUAUUUCCGUAGCUCCCCUUCUCCUUCUCGAAAAAGUAAAGGAAACGAAAGAAAAAGAAUGAUUUUUGUUAAAACAACAUAAGAUUUCAUUCUUUUUCGUGGUUUCCUAAACAAAAACCCCUACGGAAUGGAAUGGAAUAAAAAUAAAAGUUUUUCAUUCCUUUCCUUUGUUUUCCCAGAGGACUACCUACAAAUUUUUUUUUCCCCAUCCUAUUCCUAUUAAAAACCUUUCUACUAACUUAAAAAUUUCCCAACACAGACCCUAAAUCUUCAAAAAAAUUUAGUAUUACACAAUACACAUUUACAUUACAAAAAAUGUCAAAUAUACAACCCUUCUUAGUUCAAACGGGCUGGAUCUGGAUGAAGCCCAGGAUAAUUUUCUUACAGGCGGCUUAUAUCCAUCGCGUAGGCAACAGAAAGAAUUUUAGAGUUUAAAGUUUAAACUUUAAAGUUGACACCACAGCAAGUCCCAAAGUCAAAUCCACUCAACUCAAAGUCAUGGCUCAUCAUCUGAAUCGUCCGCCCACAACACGCCUCAUAUCAAACCACUGUCUGUUUCUCUUACCUCAUUUUUUUCCCCAAUCACAUCUUUCUCGGAAUCAAAGAGAGAGAGAAAGAUAAUGAAUUAAAGACAUCACUGAUCACACACACGCGUUUCUUUCUUUUUUACACUAAAACUCCUUUAUUCAUUCAUCAGUAUUACUUUUCUUCAUAAUUAUCUAUCUUUAAAAUGCUAGAAGAUUCCGCCGCCACCACCACCACCACCACCACCAGCAACGGCGGUGUAAAGCGCCGUAUUAGACUUCCACCACUAUCUAACUCUGUCUCCUCCGGCCAAAUCGCUUAUCGUCUUCUAUGUCACGUUUCUAAAUCUGGUGCAGUGAUUGGUAAAUCUGGUAACAUUGUUAAACUUCUUGAACAAGAAACUGGUGCAACAAUACGCAUUGAGAAUCCUGUACCUCGUUGCGAUGAGCGUGUUAUUACUGUUAUUGCAGCAAGUUCACCAAAGAAGAUUAUUAUUUUAAAGAGUUCGAAUAGAGUAGUAGAAAAAGAAGAAGUUUUUAAUAGUGAAAACCAAGAUAAUGGUGGUGAAGAUGUAGAAGAAGAGGAAGUGGAGAUUUUUCCAGCUCAACAUGGUUUAAUUAGGGUUUUUGAGAGGGUUUUGGAAGCUGAAGCUGAAGAUGGAUUACCAAUACAAAGUUAUGGAAAACGUUUAGUUAUGUGUAGAAUGCUUACGGAUUCCAGUCAAAUUGGUUAUUUGAUGGGGAAAGGUGGGAAAAAUAUUAAUAAGAUUGAAGAUGAUAGUGGUGCGAAAAUUAAGGUUUUAAAGAGUUGCCCGGCUUGCGCUUUGCCCAAUGAUGAAUUAAUUCAGGUCUGUUUUAUUUCAAUUUUUGUCUAAUAAUGUAUUGAGCUACAUUUAUUAGGAGUAUAUAAUAAGUCUUAUGGAAAUGAAAUCUAAAGCAAAACUUUGAGCCUAAUAAUUAAGCUUAAGAAAAUGGGAAGAAAUAGGUUACUAUAUUGGUGCAAUUGUGUCAAGAUUGAGACUAUAUAUUGCCUAGUUCAGGUUGUGUGUUCAUGUAGCAGGGUUUGGGAACUCGGUCAGUUAAAGAGCAGAUUCCAAUUUAUUUACUCAAGAAAUCAUUCUCAAAUCUGUUGAAUUAAGUGCAAGUAACUUAUAUUACAUUAUUCAACAAUCAAGAGUGAAUUUGAGCAGGGGAUUGUUGUUAACUCUGACCGGACUCUUGUGGAAUGCUGAAUGCAUUACUAACACAGUUUUUUUUUUUUAAUCUUUCUGUGUUUGUGAGUGUGUAAUUGAUGCAGCUUUUGGUUUUUUUUUUUUUUUUUUUUUAUUCGAUGGAUUGAAAUAGAUAGAGUUCCCAAAUAUUUCAAGUUGUUUCAGCAUUUUCAUCUUUUUUUUUUUCAGCAUUUUCAUCUUUUGAGUAGUGCAAUCUUACUUUUUUUUAUUGGCAAAAAUUCACUUUAUUUAGAUAAUAGAGGUUGUUUCUUUUUCUGAAAAAGGAGUUUACUCAGAAGAAAUGACUGAUAAAUGAUACAUAUUUCUAGCUACUACAAUAGCAUUUUUAGUGAUAAACUGAUAAUCUGCUGUUAGAGAAGAGGGUUGUCUGAACAUAUUGACUCAGCUUUUUUAAGUGUUUUAAAGCAACUCAGUCCAUCGUCAAGUUAUUAUGAUUACUGUCUCAAACUGGAUGGACCCCAUGGUCAUGGCUGAGUCCUUGUGGCGAGUUUUCAAAUCAUAAUAAGCUUGUACUCAAAAUAGGGUCAUGUUUUAGUUUAAAAGUCUUGAUUUCAAGUUUUCAUGCAUCCAAACUGAAUUUUUUUUUUGCAUCCAAUGUCUGGAAAGUUUCUUACUAAAUACUCCCUCCAUUCCAAAUUAUAAGUACCUUAUUCCUUUUUUGUUUGUCCCAAAAUAUAUGACCCUUUUCAUAUUUGAACACAUAUUAAUUAAGUUAAAUUAUUUUUUUGCCUAUACUACCCUUGCUUUGGAAUAGAGUAAUUAUUCUAAUGAAAAUAAUUAGAAACUACUCGUACAUUUAAUAAGUGGGACCCCCCAUUAAAUAGGGGUAAAUCUGGAAGUAUAGUUAGUAGUCAAACAAUAAAUGAUGUUCCCUUAAUAAGUAGAAUAUUCCAAAAGGUACUUAUAAUUUGGGACGGAGGGAGUAUUAUGAUGGUUGUGCUUGUUUCAUAAUAAUUUUUGGAAAUAAAAGUUUUCCACAGAUUUGUCCAAUUUGUUUUGCUUGUUUCUACACAAAAAUCACAUAUCAAGUGCUUGGUUAACCAACCGGAAAGUGGGAUAGAGAGAGAGAGGAGAGAUAAAUUGAAGAAGAGAUAGAAAGCGGAAGAGGAGAGAGAAACCAGGAGAGAGUCGGACUUUCCAAAUUUAUCCUGCUUUAUUAAACUCGUAAUAUUUGCUUACGUGGUUUAUCUGUUUUUGAAAGUUUUCCGUGGUCCCACCUAUUUAAUGGUUUCACCAAGGGCCACAUGUCACUGUAUUCCUCAAACUCUGCCGUCAAAUAAGCAGAGCCAUUAAUCCCUUAUUACUGGAAAGUUUAAGUUCUAAGGGAAAGAGGCUUGGGGGGCAUUCCUUGACUGUAUUGUCUGACAGUGCUCUUUCCUUAUGCAUUGGAAGCAUUAAUUAGUCAUUUGCAUGUCCAGACAUUUGGUAUUACAAAGUCUCUAAAUAAAAAAAACCCCUGUUUGUGAUAGUGUGACACAUGGGAUCAAAUGAAGUGGUAAUAGACUAAUAAAGAAGCAACUUUAUGGGCAAAAAAAAAAAAAAAGAAAAAGAAAAAGAAAAAGAACAGUUCAACACAGGUUUGCCUUUAGAUAUUCAUAGAAUAGAUCUUCAUUCCCAGCGGGAACAUUGAUGGCAUCGUAAAAGCAAUUGAGGACCUUGACAACCCUUGAUAUAAGUACAUAAAUUUGAGAACCAAGAAUCACUGAUUUUUAGGAAGGUAUAUUGAAGGCGUGUUGAGCCUGGCCAAUAGAAAUUCCUCAUAUUUGUGUAGUCUGCUGGUGAAUCAAUGAGUCAUACCCUAAUAAAUUGCUCUUUUACCUUGGUCAUCUGGGGUUUGUUGGGCAUGCUCAGUUUUGGUGAAGAGUUAGUACUUUUAUCCUUGAGAGUUAAUUCCAUGAAAGGGAGCAUGAUUUGGAGUAUUACGUCAUUCACAGUCAUAUUGGCAUUUGAUGGGAGAUGACCAAGACAUUUUCACCUCUCUAUCUCCUAUUUAGACAAUGUGGGAACCUUUAAGUCGAGUUCUUACCCUAGUAAGCAAAAAAUCAGAAAAAUCACUUUCUCUAGAACCAAAAUUAGAAGUGAACUCUUUGUCGACUCAAAUUUUCUUUUCAUCGCUUUAUGUUGUCGGGCUCUCUGGUAAAAAAUGAAACAUCUUCAUUGUGUUCUGUCGGGAUUGGCCAUGAAACCAACAAUUUUUGAGAUGAGUGCCUUUAGCAUGUAUAUGCGAACGAGUUUGUACACAUAUAUAGGUUUAAUGACUUAGAUAUACCUUACUAUAACUUAGGCCUGUCUUCCCUUCUUAUUUACAUUGUUGCAAUGCAACCCUAUUUAUGAUUGAGUAAACUCUUUAAACUCUUUGCCAUGGUCUCAGUUCUGUUUAGUCAUUCUACAGAAAAUAGUGGGGUCCUUCUUUGCCAUCCAUGCGAGUAAAGAGGCUAAUUGAGACUAGAGCAUUAGAUUGACACACUUUCAUUAAUAAAGUAGUAGGCAAAUUUAAGAGGCCGAAAGCUUGUGGAUAAUGAAAUCUUCCUUUCUUUCCUUUUUUUUAAUGUAUUUCUAAUUAAAACUGAGAACCUAAUAAUCUUUGAAUCACUUUGGGUGUCUGAUGCUGCUGCAGAUAACUGGGGAUAGUUUGGCUGUAAAGAAAGCAGCUCUUGCAGUUUCGCAGUGUCUCCAAAACGUUGGAAAUCUGGACAACACACAAAUGGUUGGAAGCAGGCCUUUCAUGGCAGCCCCUAAUGGAGCCUUAUGUAAUCCAUAUGCUGAGUUUCCCCCUCAUCAAGUAUCCUCCCAACAACCUACAGCGAGUAGCUCGAUGGAUUAUGCGUCAAGGACUUAUUCAAUGUCCGGAGAGCAAGAACUUGUGUUCAGACUUAUAUGUUCAGAAGACAAAAUUGGGGGUGUAAUUGGAAAGGGUGGGAGCAUUAUUAAAGCUCUACAGAAUGAAACUGGUGCUUCUAUACGUGUUGCAGCUCCAGUGGCUGAAUCAAACGAUCGUGUUAUAACUGUUUCUGCAUCGGAGGUUGUUUUGUAACCUUUAUAUUUGAGUUCAUGAAUCAUGACGUAUUACUUUGAACGACUUCAUUAACCUGGUUUAAUUUUUUAUCUGCUGUUUAGAGCAUGGAAUCACAAUACUCUCCUGCACAGAAUGCCCUUAUACGUGUUUUCACUAGGUCUACAGAGGUUGGCAGUGGAAAGAAGUUAGAGUCUGAUGAAAGUAAAGAUUCAGUGGUUGAGGCACGCCUUCUAGUUCCAUCACACCAAGUUGGCUGUGUGAUAGGCAAGGGAGGAACAGUUAUAUCGGAAAUAAGGAGGGCUUCUCGUACUAAUAUGUGGGUUAUAAAUGACCAGGUGCCCCCCUGUGCUCAAGAGAAUGAUACAGUGGUUCGGGUACGUUGAUUUCUCUACUAUAUGUAUAGACAGAAGCAAGUAAAUCAUAUUUGCUAUAUUCACAUUAGUUUGGCUGUUAUUUGCUUGUGAGAAUCUGUUCUAACAUAUCUAAGUGUUGGUUUUGGCAGAUUAUUGGAAAAAUUCAACAUGUUCAAGAUUCUCUAUCUAUUGUUACUGGGAAGUUAAGGGAUGCGCUCUUUCCCAAUAAGAUGAUAGCUGCGGCUGGAAGGGUCAGAAAGCCAACCCGUUCUGACCCCUCCCAUAAAUUUGGUCGACAGACUAGUCUUACAGAGAGUUUGCAACACCUUGGCCUCUCCAAUCAUUUGGAUCAUUCCCCCUCACCAUCACUUGGAUCAAGAGUAAACAAUUUUUUCUUUCCCUAAGAUGGUCCUCAUAAUCUUUGUUUUCUAUCUGGACAUGUGUUGAUCGAUGUUGUAAAUGCAGUACAUGACAAUGGACAUUGGAAGAGGAGUGGCACCUCUAAGAGAUGGCUUAGAACAUUUCAGGUUUGUGUCAUCCUAUCCAGAGUAUGUAAAAUCAAUUUAAUAUAUGAAGAAUGAGGUUGCUAUGCAUGAACAUGAACAUUUUGUAGGUAUGCUUACAUGACAAGUAAUUUGUUUUCCUCCAGUAGCAACUCUGGCGUUUGAGGAGUCCUGCCUGGAUUAUGAAUACUGUGCGGUUGAGCAUAGAACCGUACUCAAUUUGAAAUGGAAAGCAACUAGUUUCAAAAUUAUAAGGCGGACUUUAGACCACCCUUUUAUGAGUGUAUGCAAGAUUUGAAAUAAUACCUUUAGUUUAGGGCUUUAGGCAGGAUUAUUCAAACCAACACCCAUCUUCCAGACUUCCACGACAAUUUUUCUUUAAAUAGGGGUACACUUUCUUGGAGGCUCGUAUUCUUAUCUUGGUGGUGGAAUACUGGUUUAGUUUUAGCCAAGGAAUCUUGUUUGUUAUAUGGACUGUAGUUAUUGUUUUAUUUAUAAAAUGUGUCUUGCCAUAUAGUUGUUUAUUUGACUCUGAAUCUGUUGUAGUGGAAGCAACUCUGCUGUUGUGACGAAUACCACUUUGGAGAUUUUAGUUCCAGAACAUGCGAUUGGGUAUGAUCGUGAGGAGAAAGAAAGCAAGCUUAACCGUAUAAGACAAGUGAGCGCUUUUCUCUUUUGUGACUGCUUGUAUGAUGAUGUUAUUUCUUUCUUUCCCAGCUUUUUCAUGUUCCAACCUGUGUUUUUUUUUAGGUUCAAUAGUUAGAUUGUGAAUGAAAAUCUAACAAGCUAGCUGGUUUGCCCAGCCUCAAUUUUAUGUUUCUAUUUUGUUGGACAAGAUGCCAAAUUCAAUUUGUCAGACUUAUGCCUGCAAUUCUGUAAGACAUUGGAUCAGGUCCAUGGGAAUCUUACAUUCCCGAAGCUGUAUCUCUCCAGCAGGAGACCCAACACUUCACUUAUUUGAUAAUGAAGUAUAGAUCCAGAAUUAGUUUUAUAAAACUGAGUGCCUUUUUAGUUUUAUAAAACUGAGUGCCUUACUUCUAUAUAUAUGGAGGAGCAUAUAUUAAUAUUUUUCUGAAUUUGUAUAUUAAGUUGAGAAAAUAAUCCAGAUGAACUCAAAUACUCAAUACAAUGCUUUUUUGUUUGAAGGGUGAGUUCGGCAUGGAUACAUGUAAUUCUUGUAUAUGAUGAUUGAUUUUAUAUGAUAUGAGUUGUCGAGCAUUAUUCUUCAUUUGGUAAUUUCCAUGGUCAUUGUAUCUCAAACUUAGUAUUGGUUACUUCCAUCAGAUUUCAGGUGCAAAAGUCAUGAUGCGUGAACCCCUUCCUGGAAAGAACGAGGCAACUGUCAUCAUAUCUGGGACACCUGACGAGACACAAGCAGCACAAAGCAUCCUCCACGCUUUCAUCCUUGGUAGCGGAAGAUAAUGACCUUAUCAUAACAUCUAGCUGUUGAUAACAUUUGUUCAUGGGCGAAGACAUUAUGGAACUGAGGUUUUGCAGUCCAAUCUGUAGUUUUGUACAUUGAAAAUGUGCGAAUAGAUAUACUAAAAAUUUUGUGGGUGUUCCCUAAAUCAAAUGUUGAACACUUGAACUAAACUUACAACAUUGCCAGAAUUGCAAGGGCUGAGGAAACUUUACAAUGGAAGGACCAUUUUGUAUUUUAAUUCUUCCAAUUACCAGGGCCGGCCCUAAGAUUUUAAGAGUCCCAAGCGGUCCAAGGAAAUGUGGCCUAGUUGCGAAUUUGAAAUAUACUGUACUAAUAAUAAAAAUUUCUUAUACUAAUCAAAACCCAUCGAAAAGACAAUAAAUUUGAUGAAAUUAUCUAUUUUAACAAAAUAAAAGUGUGCUUUUAUAUAAUAUCUUAAAAUUUGGUUACGGUAGAAGAGUAAUCCGCCAAUCCGGUGAGGGUUAAAAAUUGUAGAAAGUGUUAGUUACUUGCUUAGGCCUUAGGUGAGUAAUCCGGUAAUAGUUAAAAAUAUUAGAAAGUGUUAGUUACUUGCUUAGGUCUUAGGUUUUUCUUUGCCGCAAGAAACGAGUUUGACUGAGAAGAGCUAUAGAUGUUAGAAGGUGUAGGUUAUCAAAAAUAAAAUAAAAUUAGAAGGUGUUAAUUAGAAUCUGAUUUAGGCUUGUACUCUGGUAGGGUUUUGGUCUGUGAGCCAAUACAAUAGUGUUAGGCUUUUUUACUUGAGGUGAAUAAGAACAAAAUUAAUUUGUGGCCCAAUUUUUUUUUCUUCUUUUAAUUGGCCCAAAGCACUGGCUGAACCUGCUUGUGCUGAGGGCCGGCCCUGCCAAUUACAUUACAUUAAAAACUCCUAGAAACUACAGUACCCAAGUCAAUGUGCAAGUGUGGAACUAUUGUGCAUCUCGGAGCUGUUUUGUUGUAUCUCGAAAUAUAUCAACGGUGUAAGAUUUAGUCCUAUAUUAGUUUGAAAUCAAAGGUGGAGUACGUGAAUAAUUUAUUUUCUUUCUCUUCAACCCGACUUCAAAGUUGAAAGACCAAAAACACCAUCUUCUUCUGUACUUCAUCAUCGAGUUUCUGAAACCUAGGGUUUCAAUUUAAAACAAUUUCCAACUCAGAUCUAACUUAAUGGCAGAUAAGGAGAUGGAAAUAGAUGAAGAAGAUUUGCCUAGAGAUGCUAAGAUUGUAAAAUCACUAUUAAAAUCGAUGGGGGUAAGAGAAUAUGAACCUCGUGUUAUUCACCAGUUUUUGGAACUUUGGUAUCGAUAUGUUGUUGAUGUUUUAUCGGAUUCUCAAGUUUAUGCGGAACAUGCUGGAAAAUCUGCAAUUGAUGUUGAUGAUGUUAAGCUUGCUAUUCAAACUAAAGUUAAUUUCAGCUUCUCACAACCUCCUCCAAGAGAGGUAAACUAUAAUUUCUUUCCAUUCUUCUUCAAUUCCUUUGAUUUGUGCUUUCUAUGUUAAAUUUUUUUGCUUUUGCGAUUUUGUUUCUCUUUUGGUUAAAAUUUGUUUCUAUGACAUACAUACUGUACUAACUUAUUGUGGCUAAAUACUAUCUUAUAUGACAAUGUUGAUAACACAUAUCAAGUUAAUGCAGUCAUUGAUUGUUCCUGCCUUUGAAGAAUCUCCCUUGGCAUGUAAUUGUUCUUAUAAACAAUAUUUCCCUAAAGAAAUUGAUUGAUACGAAAAUAGAUGAAUUACAUUGAUUUAGAACUUAGAGAGUUGAACAGUAUUAUUAUUCAGGUUGAUGAAUUGUAGGAAACUUUUGCUGCUGUAUUGAUGUUCAUUAGAGUCCUCAGAAUUUAGGACUCUAAUAGCAGAGAAAGUGUGUGAUCUAUACUCCACCAUGAGCUUUUUAUUAAACCUAAACUCCUUCACGGAGAAGAAUUUAGGACUCUAAUAGCAGAGAAAGUGUGUGAUCUAUACUCCACGAUGAGCUUUUUAUUAAACCUAACCUCCUUCUCAGUAAGUACUUUGAAGCAGACAUUUGCAUUUAAAAUUGCUACACAAACCUUCUUGACCCUCUCCUGUUUAUGAACAGAAGCUCUUUUCUCUUUUUCACUAUCACUUCCCAAAUGCCACUUAAGCGUUUGCCAUUGUUACAGGCACAGAGCUACUACUCUGUGCAAGAAACCGAAAACCAUAAGAUAAUUUCUCAAUAGAUAUUUAUGAGUAAAAAAAUGACAGUCUUGAGUUGUCUAACCCAUUAACUCAUGUAUUAUGUUAGUAUCCAAACUCGAAUAAAAAUUACGAAUACAUGUGAACUUUGGAUUACUUUUCAAACAUCAGCCAAAGACAUAAGUAGUAAUUAGUAUCAUUCAAAACUUAACACUAUUCACUUGUUCACUGUAAAAGACACGCAAAAGCCUUAUGGCCUUACUAAUCAUCCUCCAAGCCGUAAGCAUCCAUUCUCUUCUGUUGCUAGGUAACCAAGAUCUUUUUUGAGGUAAAAGACGAAAUACAGUACACAUAAACAAGUGUCAUCCGAAAGAAACUGGUAAUAUAUGGCAUUGGAUAUUUUAAUAGGUAGCUUUCCCUUGGUGAGAAAGAGAUUAUCUUUCUCACCUCCUUUGCUGAUACAGGUCUGAACACUGAAGUUAAUUUUUAAAUAAGGGAUUCUGCAGUUUCCUAUAAAGAGAAACUGAGAGUUUUACAAUAACUAUGACAGUCUAUGUUCACUCAAUCACGAGAGUUGCCUUGUCUAAGCUUUUGGUUCUACUGUAGAAAUGUAUUUUGAUUAGGAAAACACACAGGCAAUAUAAAAUAUACUUAGAUGGUUAACUUGUCAUGGUAGCUCAACGCUACAAAAAUAAUACAUAAUAGCGAGCAUGCAAUCUGGUAUGGUCACUGGCAUUAAUCUUAAAUUACUUAAUUUCGACCUAGUGACACCAAUUAAAUCAAGGGUCUCGUUCCUCCAACAUGUAGAGAUUUUUUUUAAGGAAGUCAACCAUUAUCCAACGGAAGUUGAUGGUUUAUGCAAUGAGUUUCUCCAACUACUUGUUGUAUUAGUAAUAAUCCAAUUCUUGAAACAGAUCUCUGUUGUUUGAAUGGUUUGUAUCUUCACCUCUUGUUUUAGUGCAUUAUUUUCUGCAUUUUAUUUUCAGCUUCAAUAAUAUGUUCUUUCUCAAUUGGCCUCUGUUCUCUAAAUUUGUAAAAUUCAAAUGUAUAUACUAUUUACAUGAACAAUGCUUGAAAAGUGAAAACUAAUAGGCCUAAACUUUUCAUUAGAUCCUACUUGAGCUGGCAAGGAACAGGAACAAAAUUCCCUUGCCGAAGUCAAUAGCAGGUCCUGGAAUCCCACUCCCACCUGACGAGGACACAUUAAUUAGCCCAAAUUACCAGCUUGCGAUUCCAAAGAAGCAACCACCCCAAGCAGCUGAAGAAACAGAGGAAGAUGAAGAGGGAGCAAAUCAAAACCCUUCCCAAGAACAAAAGACUGAACAACAGCAGCAACAAACUCCACAAAGGGUAUCGUUUCCUCUUGUGGGUAAAAGAGGGGCCUAAUCAACCCCUUUGGCAAACUGCAAGUCAGCUGCAACAAACUCAAAAGAGUAAAUUUGGAAGCUGAGAAAUUCCAUCACCUGAAGUUCGGGAUUGCAUGUAAACAUCGACAAAGAUCACUGUGGAGGCUAGUGUAGUGGAAACAGUGACGAAAGCCUCAGUUUCAAAACUUAGAGCCUCUGUUGGUAUACAGUGCCAGGUUGUAGCGUAUGAUUGAAUUAUAUCAACAAAUGAAAUAACUCUCUGGACAGGGUACUGUCAUAAUUUGCUGGUUGAUCCAUAAUAUAUGAUCAAGGCGCAGUAUCAUGAAAAAUGGUGUGUAUAUUUUGUUUCUUUUGAGAAAAUGGAAAGUCUGAACCAUUACUUGGUAUUUUCUAAAUUGAUUUCUGUUGCAGAGAAUCAUCAGUUGAAUGUGCUCAUUUAUAUUUCUAGGUAACAUAGGUUCUGGGUUUAUGGUGUAAUAAGUGUCAAAAACAUAUCUCUUCCAGAGUAAUUUCUCCCCAAAAGCAAAAUCAUAGGGUUCAGUUUCAGGUCUUCCUUUAGACAAAAAGGGGAUCUAGCUAAACCAGGCCUGCAAGCACAGCAUACAUGCCUUUGGACUAAUAGCCUAGAUUUUUUUUCUUCAAUGAAAUGCAACUCCUGUCAUCACUGUUUUACUUGCCACGAUUUGUUCACUCAGUGGCCUGGUGUGGAAAUAUGCAAGUACCACUGAAGUGUACCUUUUUUUCCCCCAGGGGCCAAGCUUUUAUCAACAAAUCACCAUUAUUCUUAGAUGCAUAAUAAUACACUAGAGUUUAUUAAACAAUUUUUACAAGGUAAAAGCCCAUAAUUAGUCAUUACAGGAACUGUUUUUCAGCUCCAACAAUAAGCUUGCUGGUCUUGUAGGUUCUACACUGAAAAUGGUUUUUUCCAUCCAAAAAAGUUGCAGCUGAAGAGUCUUAACAGUACCCAUGAGGCCAUCAGAAGGGCAGAAGGCUCUACGCGUACAACUGGAGGGGCACUCCUAAACAUUACCCAGCUUCACAAAACAGGAAUCACAGAUUCACAGACCUUGGUCUCUAUGAGCAUUGGGCACUUUGGCGUGGACUUUUCUGUUAAUCCAAAUGACGUAUUUCUGUUAAACUUGGGUGCCUUUAAUGAUUCCACGUGUUUAAUUAACAAUAAAAAAUAAACCAAUAACACAAGAGGUGCACCUCUUUUUCCGCUUUUAAUUGUGACCAAAGAUCUAUUUUAUAAAAAUAAAAAAAAAUCUAGGGUUAGGGUUUCAUCAUCUCCAAAUUCCAAUCCCGAUCUCUCUCUUCCUUGUUUGAUGCUCUGGUCUCUUUAACUUAAAAAUGCCGAAUUCCCGUCGAAUUAGUCAAUCAUACGGUAAUCUUCCAUCUAAUCAAAUCAACGAUGAAGAUGAUGGUGCCGGAGCUGAAUCAAUUGAUAAUCCUCAUCUUCGUUUUGAAGAUGAAGUAAUGGAUGGUGUUGAUGAAGAUGUUCCUUCUGAUUCUGGUUUUCCUGGUACCAAUUCAUCUUUGGCUUUACGCGGUGAGAAUUCUGAUCAACUCACUCUCUCCUUUCAUGGACAAGUUUACGUCUUCGAUUCUGUUUCUGCUGAAAAGGUUAACAAAUUUUCUUUUUUUUUAAAAAAUAAAAUAAAAUUAAUUGUGAUUAAUUGAGCGUUUUAACGGUUAUUAAAUUGGCAUUUUGGGGUUUUUUUUUUUUGAAUUAGGUACAAGCAGUGUUGUUAUUGUUAGGAGGAUAUGAAAUACCAAAUGCUGUGUCUGAGGUGACAAUAACGACUCAGAAUUCAAGGGUAAUUUUUUUUUUUUCAAGUAUGUUUAAUUUUUUUAAUUUUUUAUUAUUGGGGUUGGUGUGGUGAGGCAUUUGCUUAAUUGUUUGCUUUUUGUAAAUUUUUAGGGGUCUAGUGAUUUGCCUUGUAGAUUGAGUCUUCCCCAAAGAGCUGCUUCAUUGAAUAGAUUUCGGGAAAAGCGGAAAGAUAGGUGUUUUGAUAAGAAAAUUAGAUAUGCUGUUCGCAAGGAAGUUGCGCUCAGGUAAUUUUGCUAAUUGUUUGUUUCAUUUUGUCUAUUUUCAAUGAUUAUUUUGUUAAUUUUUACUUAGACAAAAAUAUGGUGUUCUUAUCAUACAUAUGUUAAGAUAAUGGCUCUUUGUACAUGAUUUUAUAACCAUUUGGACCAAUGUACGUUGUUUGUUUAGUCUCUAUCCAUGUGGGGCAAGCUGGUUACUUGACUAUAAGCCUAUAUGAGCUCUCUGUCCCCCACUCCUCCACCUACUUCUAAUGUUAGGGUAUCAAACUCCAAAGUCCAUAUUCCAGAUAUUACUGUUGAUUAACAGUUUAAUUUUAGGAUUAGUCUAGACUAUUUAAACCCUCCGAGCUUAUUUUUAAUGUACUGGAAGGACAAGGGUAGGUGAAGACCAUUUAAACAUAUGAGCUCAUGUGCAAAGUAUAAAAACAAUAAGGAUAAUUGAAGACCUUAUACUGUAUAUGUUUUUAGCUCAGGUUCAGAGUACCAAAUUGAUACAUUUAAGGACAAAUAUUUUUUAUUAGUUCUUAAUAGCUGAUUCAGGGGUCCUAUACUAAAACACCGUUUUUGAAAUUUAUAUUAUUCAUCUGGUAUUCCACUCACUACUUAGCUGGCAUUCAUUUAUUUGUUCUUCAUCUUACAGGGAAACUGAUUGUUUUAGCUAUUAUGUUUUUCACUGACCUAAAACUAGGAGACUUAUAUAAAAAGACUGAGUGAUAAAUCCCUCAAUGUGGAAACUAGAAUCUGUACUUUGCACAAGAAUGAUCUAUUAUCUGCCCACCACUGUCCUCCCUUUCGUUAUUUCCUCUCGCUAUGUGCCUUGGAGUACUUCAUGGUUUCUAAGAUUACUCCAAAAUUUCUCUUCCCCCUCCCCCUUUUUACUUUUCCUAGAAAAAUAUGCUCACAGUCUCUAAGUUGAUGGCAUAAGAAAGAAAGUCAAGCUAAAGCUUUUGCCUUCUUUGCAAAAGAGUGGGAGUCGUGCUUGUGACAUUAUGUUGUGAACGUUGAACAUUUGAUGCAAUAUUUGCUCUUCAAGUGUCUUGAUAAGUGUUAGGGCUCUCGGAUUAGUACGUUCAGAAACUUGUAAGAAAUGCUGCCUUUUACGACCGCAGAGUGUCUUGUGCAAUGUUAGGGACUGUCAUAGACUCAAGAUGAUGAACUUCUUGGCCUUUCCUCUUUGUGCCAAGUGGAUCUUGAUGUGAGAUGUAAUAGUUAAUACAUCUUAUAACAUCCCCCGUUUAUUAUAAUUCUGCAUGUUAAUGAUCAGGAUGAAAUAUCAGAGUCAUAGACAAGUGGCAAAAUUUUCCCAUUUGUUUUGUUUUACUAUUUAUGUUAAGUUGCGCCCUAGACUUGGAUAUGCUUGAGGAAAUGUGUAAUGUAUUAAAGGCUGAGAUACUAAUCGUAAGACUAGUAAUGCAUGAUACGUACAAUAUUUACGAGCAUAGUAUAGUGCAGGAUUGUGUCAAAAAGUAAUUGACUAUUGACUGCCACAUUGUGAUUUUAUUUCCUUCCAAGACCACAGUGUAAUCUAUCUUUUGGGAAUCAAACAAAAGCAUGUGAUGACGGGUACGAUUAGUCAUUGAUUUGAUACACCCGGCAUGAGGCCAUAAAUUAUAACAAAUAGGGCCAGCAAUUGGAAGCUCUUUGCAGUCACGUGCCUAUUGCCAAAUUAGUCACUCUGUAAUCCUGUGUGAUUUAAUUGGUAGUUUCCUGUGGAUUACAUAUCAUUUGAUUCUGGAAGCUGCAUUCAACUCUAUUAAUUGUGUGUAUUCUUAUUUUUCAGAAUGCAGCGUAAGAAGGGUCAGUUUACUUCAUCUAAGCCAACCCCCGAGGAGAUGGCAAAUCGUGCUGUUUCAGAGAAUGGGGGACCGGAUGAUUCCCCUGAAAUACUGUGAGUUCUAAACUAUAUGUAUAGAAGUUUGGCGUACAUUGAGAUUCUCGAGAUUGUUGCCAUAAUCAACUUUCCGAAUUGAACGUUCAGUCUUUUGCCUUCAACCCUGUUGUUUCUGUUUUCCGUUGUUCUUUGUUCUUAGUGAUGUUGUUUGAGUCUAUUUAUGCGCCUUGCCCUGAAUCUUAACAUCAUGUAUGCAGAUGUACUCAUUGUGGCAUUAGUUCAAAAUCUACUCCGAUGAUGCGACGUGGACCUGCUGGCCCAAGGACCUUAUGCAAUGCUUGUGGGCUUAUGUGGGCAAACAAGGUCGAUAUACUAGAACAUAAAGAUAAACUCUAGAUUUUGUGUAUGAGCUAGUGGUUUAAGAGUUUCUCUUUCGAUAUACUAGAACAUAAAGAUAAACUCUAGAUUUUGUGUAUGAGCUAGUGGUUUAAGAGUUUCUCUUUAUCUUAUGUAGUUACAUAUUUUUCCCAGAUAUUCUUUUAGAAGCACCAAUUUCCACCUUAUGUGAAUAACCAUAUCCACUGAAACAAGAAUACAUAUAAAAAUAUGUGUCAGCUUUGCAUCUUGAUGCAUCAAUCUUUUGUUAAUUGCUAGUUUUUUGUACAGCCACCUCAUUAAACUUUUUAGUUUCUGUUGUAUCAUAUGUUUUAACAGAUAACUACCCUGAAUAAGAUGCAUCUGUAUUGGUUUUACUUUAAUCCAUGCACUGUGAUUUCUGAAGUUCAUUGCAUUGUGGUUAGCUGUUUACUUAUAGGUAUAUUAAAUAGGUUUUAACUGUUUGGCUGGCUUGUUUCUGUUGUUCGCACAGAAAAUUGGACCUAAAGUUUUGCACAAUGUUAUGAUGUAGCUUUAAUAUGACUUGUCAACUAUAUUCCCAUGUUUGAUCCUAUUCAUUUUCUGUUGAAUUUGUAUAGGUCCUUAAGUAUUUAGCUUUGUCCUUCACCAUUUUGAGCAACCCAUUCUGCAUCUGAUAUAACCGUUAACAAAUGUGUGCAGGGAACUUUAAAAGAUCUGUCAAAGGCGAUAGCUGCUGUAACUCAGAGUCCAGUUAACCAAGGCAAACAAAUGGUGGAAGAGGUAGGGGCCGAACUUAGAUUUUUUCUUUUCUUUUGCAUAUAGUUGAUACGUGAUCAUAUUUUGUAAUGAACUCCCUUAUCUGUUUUUUUCUCAAAGGCCGAGGCUAACAACUGUCAAAUGCGAGAUGCUGAUCAAUUGCACACUGUAGUUCCUUCCCCAAAUGGUGGUAAUAAUGACUUGGUGGCAACGGCUGAACAAUGAGGUUGCCUUAUAAACGACUCUGUUGGCAUGUGAUUAUUCACUUCAUAGACGACUGUGUAAACUGGUGGUUACUCCCAGUCAUACUUCCAAUCCAAUGAAGUUCUUUUUCUUUUGACUUUUCUUUUUAUGUACAUAUCAAUCAGGUGCCUCGGCCAAUACAUAUGAGAUCAUUAAGGGAUUCUCUAAAUUUUUUUGUUGAUGCCUGAUAUUAAAGUUCUCUAGCUAUGUCAUUACAUGGUUUUGAUCAGUGGAAGCAGUUCAUUAAAUGGCCCACAAAUCAAGUCUUAAUUUUCCCCUCAAGUUGUAGGAGUUCCAUAAAAUGUGCUACCUAACUGGGAAAAAAAAAGAAAAAAAGGAAACAAAAAUUGAGUGAAGCCCUUCAUCACCCUAGCCUCAAUUGAGCUGAAGCACUCAAAUAGUCAAAUACCCUCAGAUAAAGCAUUUACCUCUUGAUACAGUACUCAGCUGAUUGGAGCUGCCCGGUGUGAUUUGCAGUAGGUUCAGUGGUGAUGUCGUGAUUUGUAGUAGGUUCAGUGGUGAUGUCGGUGUUAGAGAUCAGCGCAUUGUUAUCCUUCAUGUCACUGAACUAGAUUAUCACUGUUAUCCUGCAUGUCACUGAACUAGAUUAUCGCUAGCCUUGGUGCGGUACAAAUUUUGUAUCUCAGCGUAGCUAAGCUUGGAUAGGACUGUACGAGUAGAGUAUAACUGUUGUUUGGAUUGACAGGAAUUAUGCAUGCACUUACUCUAAUUGAGUUAAUCUGAUUCCCAUCUUGUGAUUUUACUUCAUUUUGCGUUGGGUUAUAUGUCAGACCUCAUGAACUUUUGUUGGGCCGUAAGUCUUGGAUUAUCCUGUCAACCCGGCCCAGUUCUUCACCCAGUGAACUGCGCGCUGUGACACGAGCCUGAGGGGAAAAUGCUGCUGAUUAAACUACGUGAAGCCACGUGGUACUUUCUAAAGUCCAACGGCCUCUUCAAUGCUCAACAGCUUCACUUCUCUUCAAAAGUCCAGGUAUCAAAAGGAUCAAAAUCCGAUCAGAUCAAUGGCAUAACCAGCAAUUAUUCGCUAUUCCAAGGUAAAUUUCAUAACCCUCUUCUUCUUC